GUGAACGAGCGACGCCGCGUGCGGGAUGAAGGCCUUCGGGUCGUAAACCGCUUUUAUUUGGGAAGAAUGCCCGUGUCGUGAACAUGGGAGGGACGGUACCAUUUGAAUAAGCCCCGGCUAACUCCGUGCCAGCAGCCGCGGUAAGACGGAGGGGGCAAGCGUUGUUCGGAAUUAUUGGGCGUAAAGGGCUCGUAGGCGGACCUGCCAGUCUGGCGUGAAAUCUCCACCGCUCACCGGGGAGAGUGCGUUGGAUACUACAGGUCUUGAGUGUAACAGAGGUUCGUGGAAUUCCGGGUGUAGCGGUAAAAUGCGUAGAUAUCCGGAGGAACACCAGUGGCGAAGGCGGCGAACUGGGUUACUACUGACGCUGAGGAGCGAAAGCCAGGGGAGCAAACGGGAUUAGAUACCCCGGUAGUCCUAGCCGUAAACGAU
rnacentral:rRNA from 1 species